CGCAAGGAGGGACGUGCUUUUCACGUCUCUGGGAGUUGACGACUCUCCGGCCCCAGUUCCUAGGUCCAGGAAGGAUCCCGUGGCGCUGAAAGGGCGCUAA
rfam:Quang Binh virus isolate JM17156/China/2017, complete genome